rnacentral:tRNA from 1 species
GCCUGGGUGGCUCACUCAGUUAAGUGUCUGACUUUGGCUCAGGUCAUGAUCUUGAAGUUUGUGGGUUCAAGCCCCAUUUCAGGCU